AUUGAACGCUGGCGGCAUGCUUUACACAUGCAAGUCGAACGGUAACAGGCCUUCGGGUGCUGACGAGUGGCGAACGGGUGAGUAAUGCAUCGGAACGUGCCCAGAGGUGGGGGAUAACGCAGCGAAAGCUGUGCUAAUACCGCAUGUGAUCUGAGGAUGAAAGCGGGGGACCAGGCAGCAAUGUUUGGCCUCGCGCCUUUGGAGCGGCCGAUGUCGGAUUAGGUAGUUGGUGGGGUAAAGGCCUACCAAGCCGACGAUCUGUAGCUGGUCUGAGAGGACGACCGGCCACACUGGGACUGAGACACGGCCCAGACUCCUACGGGAGGCAGCAGUGGGGAAUUUUGGACAAUGGGCGCAAGCCUGAUCCAGCAAUGCCGCGUGCGGGAAGAAGGCCUUCGGGUUGUAAACCGCUUUUGUACGGAACGAAAAGGCUCUGGCUAAUACCUGGGGCUGAUGACGGUACCGUAAGAAUAAGCACCGGCUAACUACGUG
rnacentral:rRNA from 1 species